rnacentral:rRNA from 1 species
GAUGAACGCUAGCGGCAGGCCUAAUACAUGCAAGUCGAACGGGAUUUAACAGUGAGCUUGCUCACUGUUAAUGAGAGUGGCGCACGGGUGCGUAACGCGUGAGCAACCUGCCCAUGUCAGGGGUAUAGCCCGUUGAAAGACGGAUUAACACCGCAUAACGAUAUCAUUCGGCAUCGAAAGAUAUCCAAAUAUUUAUAGGACAUGGAUGGGCGCGCGUGGCAUUCGCUAGUUGGUGCGGUAACGGCGCACCAAGGCCACGAUGCCUAGGGGCUCUGAGAGGAGGCUCCCCCACACUGGUACUGAGACACGGAACAGACUCCUACGGGAGGCAGCAGUAAGGAAUAUUGGUCAAUGGGCGGAAGCCUGAACCAGCCAUGCCGCGUGCAGGACGAAUGCCCUACGGGUAGUAAACUGCUUUUGUACGGGAACAAACGAUAGUACGUGUACUAUCCUGAGUGUACCGUAAGAAUAAGGAUCGGCUAACUCCGUGCCAGCAGCCGCCGUAA